UCUCCGUUGGUGAACCAGCGGAGGGAUCAUUACCGAGUUAUACAACUCAUCAACCCUGUGAACAUACCUAAAACGUUGCUUCGGCGGGAACAGACGGCCCCGUAACACGGGCCGCCCCCGCCAGAGGACCCCCUAACUCUGUUUCUAUUAUGUUUCUUCUGAGUAAAACAAGCAAAUAAAUUAAAACUUUCAACAACGGAUCUCUUGGCUCUGGCAUCGAUGAAGAACGCAGCGAAAUGCGAUAAGUAAUGUGAAUUGCAGAAUUCAGUGAAUCAUCGAAUCUUUGAACGCACAUUGCGCCCGCCAGUAUUCUGGCGGGCAUGCCUGUUCGAGCGUCAUUACAACCCUCAGGCCCCCGGGCCUGGCGUUGGGGAUCGGCGAGGCGCCCCCUGCGGGCACACGCCGUCCCCCAAAUACAGUGGCGGUCCCGCCGCAGCUUCCAUUGCGUAGUAGCUAACACCUCGCAACUGGAGAGCGGCGCGGCCAUGCCGUAAAACACCCAACUUCUGAAUGUUGACCUCGAAUCAGGUAGGAAUACCCGCUGAACUUAA
rnacentral:rRNA from 1 species